rnacentral:rRNA from 1 species
UACGAAGGGGGCUAGCGUUGUUCGGAAUUACUGGGCGCAAAGCGCACGUAGGCGGAUUGUUAAGUCGGGGGUGAAAUCCUGAGGCUCAACCUCAGAACUGCCUUCGAUACUGGCGAUCUUGAGUUCGGAAGAGGUUGGUGGAACAGCUAGUGUAGAGGUGAAAUUCGUAGAUAUUAGCUAGAACACCAGUGGCGAAGGCGGCCAACUGGUCCGACACUGACGCUGAGGUGCGAAAGCGUGGGGGAGCAAACAGG